CCUACGGGGGCAGCAGUGGGGAAUAUUGGACAAUGGGCGAAAGCCUGAUCCAGCCAUGCCGCGUGUGUGAAGAAGGCCUUCGGGUUGUAAAGCACUUUCAGUGGGGAAGAAAGCCUUGGGGCUAAUACCCUCGAGGAAGGACAUCACCCACAGAAGAAGCACCGGCUAACUCCGUGCCAGCAGCCGCGGUAAUACGGAGGGUGCGAGCGUUAAUCGGAAUUACUGGGCGUAAAGCGCGCGUAGGCGGUCUGAUAAGCCGGUUGUGAAAGCCCCGGGCUCAACCUGGGAACGGCAUCCGGAACUGUCAGGCUAGAGUGCAGGAGAGGAAGGUAGAAUUCCCGGUGUAGCGGUGAAGUGCGUAGAGAUCGGGAGGAAUACCAGUGGCGAAGGCGGCCUUCUGGACUGACACUGACGCUGAGGUGCGAAAGCGUGGGUAGCAAACAGGAUUAGAUACCCGAGUAGUC
rnacentral:rRNA from 1 species